UACGUAGGGCGCAAGCGUUAUCCGGAAUUAUUGGGCGUAAAGAGCUCGUAGGCGGUUUGUCGCGUCUGCUGUGAAAGACCGGGGCUCAACUCCGGUUCUGCAGUGGGUACGGGCAGACUAGAGUGCAGUAGGGGAGACUGGAAUUCCUGGUGUAGCGGUGAAAUGCGCAGAUAAUCAGGAGGAACACCGAUGGCGAAGGCAGGUCUCCUGGGCUGUAACUGACGCUGAGGAGCGAAAGCGUGGGGAGCGAACAGGAUUAGAUACCGUUG
rnacentral:rRNA from 1 species